GGGUAAAGAUUCUCACCCAGCAUCUACAUUUAUUCAUCAAGCAAAUAAAAUUAAAUGACAUUCAUUCAGAAAAACACCAAGCUUAAAUAUCAGUCAUAACAACCAAGGAAAAUAUAGGUGAUGGAUAUCUCAAGGUCAUCAUGUAGAAGCGCUGCCACCCAAAUAUCAAUCACACUCAUUGACUAUCAUAUUUAAAAGUACAUCAGUAAGAAGGUGACUAUACUAUUCUUCUUGUUCAACACAAUCCAUUCACCCCUCAGUUGUAAUUGAUAAAGGAAAAAUAAAGUACUCUGUUUCAAGAAGAAACUUACCCUAACAUUUAUGCCAUUUUAACUUUUAAGAAGAGAUUACUAAAUGACCAAAGUAGCGUCACAUAAGAAUCAGUAGACAUCCCAAACCAUCCUCAAAUCACAGGCUGCAAAAUAAAAAAUGAAUAAACAUUUAACACAAAGAAUAAUACAUACCGUCCUCUGCUGUUCUGGAGUAGC
rnacentral:misc_RNA from 1 species